GUGAGGAAUUUUGCGCAAUGGCCGCAAGGCUGACGCAGCAACGCCGCGUGGGUGAAGAAGGCCUUCGGGUCGUAAAGCCCUGUCGGGUGGGAAGAAAGGGCCGAUGGUAAAUAGUCAUUGGUUUUGACGGUACCACCAGAGGAAGCACCGGCUAACUCCGUGCCAGCAGCCGCGGUAAUACGGAGGGUGCAAGCGUUAUUCGGAAUUACUGGGCGUAAAGCGCGUGUAGGCGGGGAUACAAGUCUGAUGUGAAAGCCCUGGGCUUAACCUGGGAAGUGCAUUGGAAACUGUAUUUCUUGAGUACUGGAGAGGAAGGGGGAAUUCCCGGUGUAGAGGUGAAAUUCGUAGAGAUCGGGAGGAAUACCAGUGGCGAAGGCGCCCUUCUGGACGGUUACUGACGCUGAGACGCGAAAGCGUGGGGAGCAAACAGGAUUAGAUACCCGUGUAGUCC
rnacentral:rRNA from 1 species